ACGGGUGAGUAAUGUCUGGGAAACUGCCUGAUGGAGGGGGAUAACUACUGGAAACGGUAGCUAAUACCGCAUAACGUCGCAAGACCAAAGAGGGGGACCUUCGGGCCUCUUGCCAUCGGAUGUGCCCAGAUGGGAUUAGCUAGUAGGUGGGGUAAAGGCUCACCUAGGCGACGAUCCCUAGCUGGUCUGAGAGGAUGACCAGCCACACUGGAACUGAGACACGGUCCAG
rnacentral:rRNA from 1 species